rnacentral:sRNA from 1 species
AAAUAAACCUGAUGGAAACGAACACGAAUCCCGAUAUUUCAUCGGAAGGAGUAAAGUGUACAGCAGGGCUGAAA